GUACGAGCCGCUCUCAGCGCUGAGCGGCACAGUUCAGUCCGCCGGCGGACCCUGGACUCACCCGUCACAAGGUAUGUGACUGUACUGGACAUUUCCAGAUGAAAUAAGGACGACAGAUACAGAAGAUAAAAAGGUUCCCCAAUGACUCUCACUGCUAGGGAGAUGGGACUGGACAGACUUUAGCCUAUCAUUUGCCAGGAGAGCAGCAGGAAAGCACCACUGGGAACGUGGAACCCAGUGGAUAACAUCUGCAAGUGCACCUGGACCAGGCAUCGCCCACCUAUUCAAACUGACCUAUGACCCCUCCUGUACUGUAAAUGACCAGCCCUUUGACCUAUGGGUGAAGGGAUUACAGAUUCCAUUGUUUCAUGAUUUGGACAAAUGUAUAAAAGCCACGCUGCCUGGCUGGUCAAACACAUUCUCUGAAGAUCAUCUAUUCAGAUAGACUGAGGACCGGAACCGGGUGGCGCUGGCGAACAAACAUCACUUUCUUCCAGGGUUGGACUGGCCCACAGGGGUACCAGGGAAACCACCGGUAGGCCCCACUGCCUGAGGGCCCAUUCCUUCCUCUAGGGAUCAGGUUCCAGACUGUGCACUUCUAUUAUAUAUGGGCCAUCUUGAGCGUGCCAGUCUUCCAGACAGCCACCACAGCCUUCUAUUGGGAGUCGGGACAAGGACAACAGCCAACUGCUGCACACACCACAGAUACCUUCAUUUGCAUAGCCAUUUGUUCCCCAGGUACGGUCCCCAACAUUACAGCCACUUGGUGGUCCUGAGGAAACAAAACAUGUAAUGCUAACAUUAGAGAUGUCUCCAGCUACACCAUGCCACAAUGACUAUAAACACAAAGACCACCCAGCCUAUACUUACAAGAGAUGUAACAAAUUUUCCUGCUGAUACUGCCUCUGAUUUCCUCUUAUAAUAUGGCACUAAUGGGCACACAAAUAAGACACUUGUCACAAAUCACCAGGCAUUUGCAUAAACGUGACAGUGGCCAUUUUGCCAGUACUCCCAAAUGAGAAUUUGAGUAAACUCAAUACAAAAAUAAAUGCUAAUUUUGAAAUUAGGAUGAGAAUACUUGAAUCAAUUCACCAUGUGUUAGCGGUACAAAAAAUGCAAACAUUAUUUUUCAGGAUGGUUUUUUAAGAAUAUUCCAAGCUCAAACCAAUGUUACUAGGGACAUGAACCAAAACAUUAUGUCAUUGGGGACACAAAUAGUUAGCCGGUUCCCUGAGGCAACAAGUAGCUCCAGUACCAGUUUAAACUCCUCACCUGCACCAAUACCACCCAGGCAUGGGGCCUGCACCAGAGGUGGGGCUGCAUGUCCAAGUUGGUCUCCACCCAGCCCUUGUUAGCCACCUAAAAGGAGACAUUCAAAAUAACUUCAAUUAUAUGUUGUACUGUUGUACUUGUAUGCCGAAAAAAAAUAAUUUAGUUGUCAUUUCUAUAUGUGACCUAUUUCAGGAAUUUGCUAUCAUUUGAACAACAGUUUACCAAAAAGCCAGUAACAAUAUUAUAUGCUGGUGUUGACAGAAUAAAAUAUGGUAAUAAUCAGUUA